UGGGUGUGGGGGGGGGGGGUAAUGCUUGGUGAUUUUAGCCUUGUUUGUAGUACAGUUUUUUUAAUGAAUGUUUGAUACAGUUUUACCUUUGCACUCGGCAGAGGCUGUAAUAUAUUCACCUGUAAAUAGGAGAGAAUAUUCUGGUUAAUGCAAAAGGAAAUCUGUGUUCUAAUUUAAUGUUACCCUCAAGGAGCACUGAAUGGAAACAAGUGGUGCUUCAUUAUAACGUUGUGCCUUACGAACCACUGGGAGGCGCCAUUGGUCCAUCCUUUUACAUGAGUGAUGGCGGUGAGGGAUGGAACUGGUGGCAGUAACUGUAAAAGUGGAGAAAAAAAUAUAUAAUAAUAAUAAAAAUGAAAUUCCUUGCAGCCAUUGUAAAAAUUUUUGGAAGAUUUGCAUCACAGUUAUCAGUAAUUUUAAUCAGUCAAUCUGAGCGCCUCCUGGUGGUCGUGGCGGUGCCGUGUUUUUGCCUCAGCCUGAUGUGUAGCGGAGCCUCCUCCAGAAGCAUAUGGAAAACAUCUGGACCUCAUCAGUGAGUGGGUUCUCCUCCAACUGCCAUGGGAACAAACUAUUUUUAAAAACUGUGGUGAAAGUCUUACACACACACACACACACACACACACACACACGAUAAACAAACAAGGAUUCAAACUGAAGAAGGUUUCAGUUUCUUACUCACUUCAUUCUUUUUCUGCUGCUUCUUCUCAGGUCUCGGUAGCAGGACGGAGGAGCGGUGGGAGUCUGAUUAUCCCUCCAAGAAACUACAACUAUGUCUCGUAGCAGAACCACAGUUGGACACAUGACACAGGAAUGUGCUACAGUGAAAACUCACAACUCCACGUCGUGAUCUCACACGGGUUCUCAAUCUAUGGUAUGCGUACCGGUGAUGGAGCACCUGACACUGAAGAUGUGUGCCGCCUCCCCAGGUGCUCUGGCUGUUCUAGGAGAUGCCCCCCCCCCCACCCCCCUUACUGACUGGCUGAAUUUAAGGUUGGCGCCAGGCUUCGGGGACGCCAGGUCCCGUCAACAGUCCGUGUUGGUCCUGUUAGGGUUUUAGUAAUAAUGGACUCUCCCGAGGGUCCCGGUCCCCGAGCCCAGGAUGUCCGGUUGACCGUUCCUCCAGAUCUCACGUAUGAUGCGCUCUCUCUCCUCCAGUCUCUGCGCUCGCUCCAGCUCCUCGGCCGAAGUGAAGACGUUGACACUCAGCAUCCCGUCCGAUUGGCUGUUGUGGUUGCCCAGGGGGGUCUCUGUGGGGUGGACGAGGCCACGGCGGUCCGUGGUUUACAGGAGAUGCGGAUGACCAGGAGGCACAGGGUCAGCACCAGGCCGAAACAAACCCCGAGAACAAAGUAGAGUCCGAAGCUCUCUGGGUUGGCUGUGGACGAGAGGACAACGACACGA